rnacentral:rRNA from 1 species
GACGAACGCUGGCGGCGUGCUUAAUACAUGCAAGUCGAACGGAAAGGCCCUGCUCUUGUGGCUUGCUCGAGUGCCGAACGGGUGAGAAACACAUGUGUAACCCGUCCUUGACAUUGGGAUAACUUCAGGAAACUGGGGCUAAUACAGGAUAGAAUCUCCUGCUGCAUGGUGGGGGUUGGAAAGUUUCGGCGGUCGUGUAUCGACUCGCAGCUUAUCUGCUUAUUGGUGGGGUAGUGGCUUACCAAGGUUUUGACGGGUAGACGACCUGAGAGGGUGACCGGCAACAUUGGGACUAAGGCACGGCCCAGUCUCCUAAAGUAGGCAGUGGUGGGGACUCUGCAACAACGGGCCGGAGCGUGAACCCGCGACACAGCGAUCGGGAUGACGGACUACGGGUUCUAACCAACUUUCGCAUGUGACGUACCGUGAGUGACGGUAACCGGUAAGAAAGCAACGGCUAACUACGUG